GAUGGCCGCAGAAGGAUAUCCGCCUCUUUCAGCCAUGGCGGCCAGCCGGGGUGUUUCGCGGCGGCCAUUGGGGAGUAUCCACCGCCAUCCGUCUUCUCUGGGGCUCUCCCGCCGCUCGGCUCCGCCGCAUCGGCGCCCUGUAGGCAUCGCGUCCGGUGGCUGCGCUUCAUCGCGCUUCGAAGGCUGCGAAGGGUAGCGCGGCCUUGCCCCCGCCUUCCUCCUCAGGUUGGGGCCGGCCCCGGGCGAGUGAGGGACCUCCGAGGCUGAGCUGAUGCCCUGUCCCGGGACAGGCGGCCGCGGAUGGAAGAGCCGCCCGGCCCUAUCGAAGCUGCGUCUGUCGGUGCUGUGGUAGAUGCGGUCAAAAAGGAGCCAAGAGCAAAGGGAUUUUCCUCGACGGUCGCCGCUCAGUUAAAGUCUUCGUAACUGUCCGGCAACAUUUCGGAAAACAGCAUCCUGGCGUAGAAAGUGAUCCCGGGACAUGGGAUGACUGGUGACAGCCUCAGCUUCGGGCAAGUGAGAUGGGCGAUCCUGGUUCUGGAGUCCUCUUUUGAGAGGCUGAGAAUUGGUUGGUUUUGUUGCCUCCCUGGACCAGAGUAGGAACCACCAGCGUUUCCUGCCGCUCUGCUAUUGGACAAUGCCAGCAUGUGCAGUUCCGAGGCUGUGCAUCCUCCACAGGGCUUGUCCUUGGGGCUGGGCCUUAGUACUUAGUGCUUGCUCCAUCCAGACGAUGUAUGGGUGGGUUAAGGGCAAUUCCUCUCUCUGGGGCCCACUAGAGGCAGAACUGGGGGUCAACCCUGAUCCCGGAGCGAGUCAAUGAGUCUGUCACAGACUUUACAGAGUAUAAACUCUGUGUUAACCUGCAUGUUAAUCCAAGAGCUGUGGCUCCAUGCAGUAGCUGCAGGUCUCCAACAGCAUGCCAGAGCAAUAGGAAGGUCUUUGACUGCUGGGCCUCUUCUGCCUGUGACUGUCACUCGCCCCUCCAAUACAUUUUUGGGAAUUGGGCUGUUCCUUGUUUUGGGUUCCAGGGAUCAAAUGAGUCAAAGGUGUGUCCACAAAAGUCUGCAGCCCACUGCUGAUGUUGGGUGUAUGUUGUGAUGUCUUCCAGGGGUCCUGGGUGUUCCAGAGCUCACCCAUCUGUUGGAUAAACCCAGCAAUAACUCUGUGGAAAAAUACUAAACCCUGUGAGCCCUGUCCAAGGGCUUCAGCUUGCUUUCUAUAGGACCUGAGUUUUGGGAAAGCUGCAAUGUGGAUCAUGUCUAAGCAGAGGGUGAACCAUCCCUGAGGGACUUGGUGCUGCAGUACCAGACUGUUCUUUCCCAGCCCUCUCCUCCAGAAGUGGGAGCUCUGCAGAGCCAGAUCCUGGCUCCUUCCUGAGCUAUGAGCUCCACUAAGUGGGAUCAGCCAUUCCUGAGCUCCGCUCACCUGCAGUGGACAGAGAUAGAACUGGUUUGGCUCCAGGUAUUGCUGAAGCUCUGGUUCAGAUGCUCCACAUGGAAGAGCAGUCUGUUCCAUGGAGUUUUCUCAGGAGGGGGUCUGGAUUUUAAAUACUUGAUUAGAGCAGAGAGCCAGUAAUGCCAGGGUGGUGGGUUUGAUCCCUGUACAGGCCAUUCACUAGGGAGCUGGACUCAGUGAUCCAUGUGGGUCCCUUCCAGCUUGGAAUAUUCUCUGUGUGUGAUAGGAGUUUGAAUAAAUGCAAUUAUUUCAAAUCUU